rnacentral:rRNA from 1 species
CACGCCGUAAACGAUGUCAACUGGGUGUCGGUAGUUUUACACUAGCGGUGCCGAAGCUAACGCGUUAAGUUGACCGCCUGGGGACUACGGCCGCAAGGCUAAAACUCAAAGGAAUUGACGGGGGCCCGCACAAGCAGCGGAGCGUGUGGUUUAAUUCGAUGCGACACGAAGAACCUUACCCGGGUUUGACAUGCAUGUAGUAGUGAAGCGAAAGCGGAACGAGCCUUCGGGCAGCAUGCGCAGGUGU